AUAACGAUCCGGAAACGGGUGCUAAUACCGCAUAGUUUCUUGAUCGCAUGAUCGGGAAAGGAAAGACGGUCUUUGUGCUGUCGCUUAUGGAUGGACCCGCGGCGUAUUAGUUAGUUGGUGAGGUAACGGCUCACCAAGACGAUGAUACGUAGCCGACCUGAGAGGGUGAUCGGCCACAUUGGGACUGAGACACGGCCCAAACUCCUACGGGAGGCAGCAGUAGGGAAUCUUCCGCAAUGGACGAAAGUCUGACGGAGCAACGCCGCGUGAGUGAAGAAAGGUUUUCGGAUCGUAAAACUCUGUUGUCAGAGAAGACAAGUUGGAGUAGUUAACUGCUCCAGCCUUGACGGUAUCUGACCAGAAAGCCACGGCUAACUACGUGCCAGCCGCAGC
rnacentral:rRNA from 1 species